UUACCUGGUUUGAUCCUGCCAGUAGUCAUAUGCUUGUCUCAAAGAUUAAGCCAUGCAUGUCUAAGUACAGGCCGAAUUAAGGCGAAACCGCGAAUGGCUCAUUAAAUCAGUUAUGGUUCAUUGGAUCUUACCUUGUCCUACUUGGAUAACUGUGGUAAUUCUAGAGCUAAUACAUGCAAGCAAGCCCCGACCGGCGACGGGAAGGGCGCUUUUAUUAGAUCAAAACCAAUCGGGCUCUCGGGCCCGUUCCUCAGUGGUGACUCUGAAUAACUUUGUGCUGAGCGCAUGGUCUCGUACCGGCGCCGCAUCCUUCAAGUGUCUGCCUUAUCAGCUUUCGAUUGUAGGUUAUGCGCCUACAAUGGCUAUAACGGGUAACGGGGAAUCAGGGUUCGAUUCCGGAGAGGGAGCCUGAGAGACGGCUACCACAUCUAAGGAAGGCAGCAGGCACGCAAAUUACCCACUCCCGGCACGGGGAGGUAGUGACGAAAAAUAACGAUGCGGGACUCAUCCGAGGCCUCGCAAUCGGAAUGAGUACACUUUAAAUCCUUUAACGAGGAUCUAUUGGAGGGCAAGUCUGGUGCCAGCAGCCGCGGUAAUUCCAGCUCCAAUAGCGUAUAUUAAAGUUGCUGCGGUUAAAAAGCUCGUAGUUGGAUUCGAGUCACGGAGCGAGGGUUCACCGCCCGGUGCUUACUCUCCGCCAUCCGGACGUUGAUGUCGGCGUGGCACGGGGUGCUCUUCACCGAGUGUCCCGGCGCCGCCGACGAGUUUACUUUGAAAAAAUUAGAGUGCUCAGAGCAGGCUCAACUGAUGCCUGAAUAGUUGUGCAUGGAAUAAUGGAAUAGGACCUCGGUUCUAUUUUCCGUUGGUUUUCGGAACCCGAGGUAAUGACUAAUAGGAACAGUCGGGGGCAUUCGUAUUGCGACGUUAGAGGUGAAAUUCUUGGAUCGUCGCAAGACGAACUACUGCGAAAGGAUUUGCCAAGAAUGUUUUCAUUAAUCAAGAACGAAAGUUAGAGGUUCGAAGGCGAUCAGAUACCGCCCUAGUUCUAACCAUAAACGAUGCCAACUAGCGAUCCGCCGGCGUUAUUCCCAUGACUCGGCGGGCAGCUUCCGGGAAACCAAAGUUUUUGGGUUCCGGGGGAAGUAUGGUUGCAAAGCUGAAACUUAAAGGAAUUGACGGAAGGGCACCACCAGGAGUGGAGCCUGCGGCUUAAUUUGACUCAACACGGGGAACCUCACCAGGCCCGGACACCGAAAGGAUUGACAGAUUGAGAGCUCUUUCUCGAUUCGGUGGGUGGUGGUGCAUGGCCGUUCUUAGUUGGUGGAGCGAUUUGUCUGGUUAAUUCCGAUAACGAACGAGACUCAAA
rnacentral:rRNA from 1 species